UACGUAGGGGGCAAGCGUUGUCCGGAUUUAUUGGGCGUAAAGAGCUCGUAGGUGGUUUGGUAAGUCGGAUGUGAAAUCUCCAGGCUCAACCUGGAGGGGUCAUUCGAUACUGCCAUGACUAGAGGUCGGUAGGGGAGUGUGGAAUUCCCCAAGUAGAGGUGAAAUUCGUAGAUAUGGGGAGGAACACCGGUGGCGAAGGCGGCCAUCUGGACGGAUACUGACGCUGAGACGCGAAAGCGUGGGGAGCAAACAGG
rnacentral:rRNA from 1 species